CCUACGGGGGGCAGCAGUAGGGAAUCUUUCACAAUGGGCGAAAGCCUGAUGGAGCAACGCCGCGUGCAGGAUGAAGGCCUUCGGGUUGUAAACUGCUUUUAUAAGCGAGAAAUAUGAUGGUAACUUAUGAAUAAGGAUCGGCUAACUACGUGCCAGCAGCCGCGGUCAUACGUAGGAUCCGAGCAUUAUCCGGAGUGACUGGGUGUAAAGAGUUGCGUAGGUGGCAUAAUAAGUAGCUAGUGAAAUCUGGUGGCUCAACCAUUCAGACUAUUAGCUAAACUGUUAAGCUCGAGACCGUUAGGGGUAACUGGAAUUUCUAGUGUAGGAGUGAAAUCCGUAGAUAUUAGAAGGAACACCAGUAGCGUAGGCAGGUUGCUGGGACGGUUCUGACACUAAGGCACGAAAGCGUAGGGAGCAAACGGGAUUAGAUACCCCAGUAGUC
rnacentral:rRNA from 1 species